GAUCUAAAGGCCCUAGAGAUAGGGAGAUAGUUAUAGAGAAGACAGGUGGUGCAUGGUUGUCGUCAGCUCGUGUCGUGAGAUGUUGGGUUAAGUCCCGCAACGAGCGCAACCCUUGUCGUUAGUUACCAGCAGUAAGAUGGGGACUCUAACGAGACCGCCGGUGAGAAGCCGGAGGAAGACGGGGAUGACGUCAAAUCAUCAUGCCCCUUAUGACCUGGGCGACACACGUGCUACAAUGGUCGGUACAGAGAGAAGCGAAGCUGUGAAGUGGAGCGAAACUCAAAAAGCCGAUCGUAGUCCGGAUUGCAGUCUGCAACUCGACUGCAUGAAGCUGGAAUCGCUAGUAAUCGCAAGUCAGCCAUAUUGCGGUGAAUACGUUCUCGGGCCUUGUACACACCGCCCGUCACACCAUGAGAGUUGAUAACACCCGAAGCCGGUGGCCUAACGGAAACGAAGGAGCUGUCGAAGGUGGGAUUGAUGAUUGGGGUGAAGUCGUAACAAGGUAUCCCUACGGGAACGUG
rnacentral:rRNA from 1 species